UCCUUGUGGACCUUCAACCCAUGCCGAACCCUAGGGCCUAAUCAUCUAAAAUCUGCCAUGUUAAACCCUAGCCCAUUCCUCCUAAACCCAAGCCGCACCUAACCCUAGCCCAAUCUGAUUUAUUUAGGGUUUUAGGUGUCUAUAUAUAUGUAUUUAGGGUUUCCUACUUAUUUGUGUAUGUUGAUUGAGAGUGCACGCUUAGUUUCAUGCAUGAAUAUAAUGCUAGAUUAUGAGGGAGUUUCACCUAAUAGUUAUAAUCUUAUAAUCACAAGUAGUGAAGAUCGCUUGAAAACGAUCGCGUUGAAUGAAUUCUUAGCAUAAGUUUCAUGCAAUUCAUAGUAACAAAUGCUUCGUCAAUGCUUAUGUUUUUGAUAGGAGCAUAUUUAUGCGCCUUAGUUAGUUAGUUCUUAUGCAUUUAUGUUGUGUUUUCUUAGUUAAGUUAGUCUUUUAAGCUAUUUUCAUGUGUUUUCAGGUUUUAGAGACAAAGUGAGCAAAAGGAUGUAAUUUGGAGCAUUUUGGAGCAAAAUUGGGCUAAAAUGGAGUUCAUGCACAUGGGGCACAAGGGAUGGACGAAUUUGAGGAAUUGAUGAAGCUUGGAAGGCGUUUCAAAGUUGAAGAAUUGAAGAUACAAAGUUUCCUAGUUGAAGUAGGAAAGGGCUUACAUGAAGGAUUCCUAAAUGAAGAAGGAUUCCUAAUCAAUGUAGGAGUCCUAAUUGAGAUGGAUUCCUAGACGAAUGAAGUUUCCUACUCAAGCAAGUAUUCCUACAUGAAGAAGAAGAAUUAAAGCCAAAGAAUCAGCUCAAGAGAAGGAUCUUAUCCAAAACCUCAUCCAUAACCUUAUCUUAGCUUAUCUUAUCCAAACAAACCUUAUCCUAUCUUAUCUUAUCCUAAUCCUAAAUUAUCCACAUUCCAGCCACUUAGGAGGGUUUCUAACUAGAUUAGGAUGCUUAAAAUGGGAUUUCUAGAAGACCUAAUCCUUUCCUACAAAGGUGCCACACCUUAUCCCUUGUUUUUCUAGAAAUCAGCCACAAAAUAACCUUUCUAGAAGGUCUUAUCCCUUCUCCUACAAAAGUGACGCCCCAAACCUUUCUAGGACUCCUAGAAACCUGAUUAUUCCUUUCCUCCUUGGUUUCUAAAAGCCUUAGCCUUUUCCUUCAAGGAUUGUGUGUUAUUAUCCUAUACAAAUUAGGCUUUUAAAUCCUUUUCCUUUGCUACAUAGGGGCUGCGAAUUUCAGCCUAUAAAUACCACCCUUUGCUGCACCAUUUAGUCACCAUCUCUACCAUAUUUUCACUACACCAUUCACCCAAACAUCCCUCAUUGUGUCGUGAGUUUGCAAGGAAAAGAAGGAAGAACUCUUGGAGCCAUGCAUGCCAUUCAAGGAGCUUGGAUUGUGGAGCGAUUCUAGGUGUUUUCUAUCUUUGUUAGAAUGUUUAAAUUUAUUUAUCUUUGUUUAUUUGCGAACAUGAGGAACUAAUUUCUUUAUAGUUAGAGGGGAAUUCAAAGCCAUGAUCAUAUGUUUUAUAUGACUUGAUUACCUCCAGUUAUGAUUUCAUGAAUCGUGAAUGUGGUUUACUUAUCUAUUUGAUUGAUAACUUGUUCUUGUGUGUUAAUUAAGGAUGCAUACUUAGUUCGCAUGCAUGAAUUUGAUGCUAGAGUAUAAGGGAAUUUCACCUAAUCGUUAUUAACUUAUAUUCAUAAGUAGUAAAAGUCGCUAGUCACGAUUGUGUUAAGUAAAUCCUUGGCAAAAGUAACAUGCGUAUCCCAUAGUUAUGAAUGCUUCGUCAAUGCUUAUGAUUUCCAUUGAACUUAAUGAUCUUUGAUAUGUGUCUCUAUCAUGCGUAUUCCAUAGUUAGGGUCCUUGAUAAGAAUAAUUUGGUUGUAAUGCGUAUCCCAUUCAAUUCAAUGAAUCUAGGGAAAUCUGAGAAUUAAUUGUCAAUCUAGUUAAUUUGGGGCAUUGUCAUUCAUGGUUUGUUGAAAGAGUAACUGGAAAUCGAGUAGUAUGUAUAUGUUUCAUGUGUGGAGAAGGAACCCUCUAACUAGCCUUUCACCAUCUUAAUUUCCAUCAAAUCGUUUUUGUCAAGUUUGUUUUCAAAGUUUCUGUUUUAAAAGUUAAAUUCGUCAAAACCAAACCCCUUGCUUUUAAAUCUUGUUUUUAGAGUCAAAACUUGUUUCUUUUAAGUCUUUUGAGUCUUUGAAGUUCUAUUUUCGUCCAAAUCACUUGUUAGGUCUAGAAUUGAGUUUUUUUUUUAUUGUUUCUUGCUGUUUUUAGUGUUUUAAAGUUAGUUUUGAGUCUAUAGAGUCUAGUUUAGUGUUUUUGAGUCUUAUUUGUGUUGAUUAGCAUCCCUAGUUAAUCCCCGGUUUAGAACGAUCCCUACUUGCUUAAAUACUACAAUUGUCAUCAAUAGGGUUUAAUUUGUGGGUCAAUAUAAUUUUCACAUCAAAUUUUGGCGCCGUUGCCGGGGAUUAGCAAAAUUGCUAAUCCCCCUUUGUUUCUUUUUCGUGUCUUUUGUUUUUCGUUUCUGAUUUUGUUUCAUUUAUUUUACUUUUGAUAUUUGAUUAAGUUUUCUUUCUUUGAUUUCAGGUUCUAGCGAAGUAAGACAUGGAUUUUGCUAACAUUCAAGCUCAAUUAGCGAAUCUUACUUCUCAAUUAUCACAGAUUGCCGGAAGGACUACAAUGCAAAGUGUCCCUACAUUUGGUGUGUCUUAUGGGCACGGAUAUCAAACUCAUCAACAUCCUCAAUUCACUGUGAACGAAGAUGCUUGGGGUUAUCAAGGCUAUGAUCAACCAAGCAACAACAUGUUUUCCAACACUUACAAUUCGGCUUGGAGAGAUCAUUCAAAUUAUAUGUGGGGGGAACCUCAACAAUUCCAACAAGAUGGAUAUUGGCAGCAAGAGGAGGAGUUCUAUUCAAGACCUAUGCAAUAUGCCCAAUCAAACUCAGGUUCGUCAAUAAAUUAUAAUCAAAUUCUUAAUGAAUUAAAUUGUUUGGUGCAGGGCUCACAAAAUCAAGCCAAUAAGGCUCAACAAGAUGCAUAUUGGCAGCCAUAUGAGGAGUUCUACACCACACCUAUACAGCCACCACCGCAUACCCCACAACAAUUCCAAUCAAAAUUCAAGUAUGUCCAUGGAUAGUGAUCAAAUUCUUCAAGUACUAACCUCUUUGACGCAGGACCAACAAAAUCAAGACAAGAAGUUGGAUAAAUUGAAGAGUCAAAUGGGAGAGAUUAUGGAAUUCAUGGUACAAAUUCAAGAGCAAAGUGAACUCUCCAACUCAACUGUUGAAAAUUCGAAGGAAGAUUUUGAAAUCCACGAUGCUAUCACUUUGGGAAGUGCUAUGGAAGUUGGAGCUGGCCUAAAAACGUCCAAACAUAGCCUAGAAGUGGAUGAGGAGGAGGAAGCAGACAUACACACGGCAAGGGUAGAACAACCCUUGCCGCAGCCCCUUAAGCCCUCUAGCCCACCCACCACAAGUAAGGACGUCCUAAUUUCAUUUCAUUCUAAUGUUAUUCCUCCGAAUGUCCCUUUUCCUAGCAGGUUUUUGAUUCCCAAGAAAGAAGAGAGUGAAAAAGACAUCGUGGAAGCCUUCCCAAGUGUGCAAAAUGAUAUUCCAAUUCUUGGCACACCCACUCAAGUACCAGAUUGUGUUGAAGGGUUCAAAGAACCUAGUUCACCACAAAGAAAGAGUCAAGAAAAAGAAGUGGCUGGUGAAUUUCAAGAAUUCAUUAAAGAGCAUGUAAUUGAGACAACCAUCCCCAAAGAAGUUGAGUUUGAUGACACGGGACAAAUCACAACCAUCGUAGUACAUCUAGCCAAAUUCAAAGUCCCUGAAACUUUCAAAGAAGUGGCACCCACGUUAGAAUUUAAACCAUUUCUGGAUCAUUUCAAGUAUCACCGUCCAUUCAAAGAUCAAUUCCAUGUCAUGGCCACCAAUGGAGCUUAAUUGGAGGUAUCGUCCGGCUGGAAGACGUUAAAGCAAGCGCUUCUUGGGAGGCAACCCAUGCAAAUAAAGAAGACCUAGGAAGCUCCGGCAUCACAACCAGAUUUGCGUUCCUAAACCCUACUCUUUAUUGCUUUUACUUUGCCAUAUUUGUCAUGUUUGCUAGUUGUGUUAUUUGCGUGCUUUUGUGUGAGUCUAUGUUUGAAACAUUGAGGACAAUGUUUGGUUUAAGUGUGGGGGGGUAAACAAAGUGUUUUUGUGUCAAAUUCGUAGGAUUUUAUCACCUAACAUUUCAAAGGUUGUUUUUCAUCGUUUUUAAGUGUUUUUAGAAAGUUUUGAUGUGUUUUAUGUGGCUUUACCAGAAAAUCCGAAAAUUCAAGAAAAAAAAUAGAAAAAGUUUUGAAAAAAAACCUAAAAAGAGUCGUUUUAAAAGUUGUUUUUGUGUGUUUGUGUCGUAGAGUACCUUCCAACACAAUGAUGAGGAUUUGGUUUUUAAUUGCAUGACCGUUAAAGAAAGUUACAAACAUGGAUGGAAGUUUGAUAUGCUCUUUUGUUUAUGCUUGGUCAUCGUUGUUGUUUACGAAUUCACAUAUAAUCACAAAGAAAGAAAAAAUCAGUUUUUGUAACAUGCUUGAAGGAAGUAACUCAAACUAACGCUACAACCUUGUGAGACUUGAGCCUAAACGUUUAUUUGGAGAGUUAAUAACCUUUGAAUUUGUUGUUUUCUAAAGUCGUUGCAUGAUCUCAUCAUUCUUUGCUUGGUUGCUACUUAGAAGGCGUGUCAUCAUUAUAGAUCCAAAUAUUAGAACUCAUACCCAUUUCAUUCAAAACUUAAAAUUGAGUGCAUAACAUAUAACAAGAUGAAGUGUUUAGUAGUUAUCACCAGAGCCAAAAAGCCUUCAACCCAUGCAUUUGUUUUUUGUAGGAUUAACCCCUUUGAGCCUUAUUUAGCCUAUUUUUGUUGUUAGCCACAUUAUCCGUACCUAGCCUAGAGUAGGACUAUCCAUACCCUUGUUCUUAAAGGAUAAUAAAGCAUGACUUAGAGGGAAUUCCUUUUGAUCAAUGUGUGCAGAAAACUAAGUGUGGGGGAAGGGAAAGUUUGUGUGCCAAAAGAAGUAAGGAGGGCACCGGUAGAAAAGAAAAAAAAAAAAAAAAAUUCGUGGAAAUAAGAAAAGAAAAUAAAAAGUGUGUGAAAAGAAAGAAAAAGAGUUGAAAAUAAGUGAGAAUUAACUCACAUGUGUUGGUUGUUGGAGAAAGGGUCCAAAAAGAUUGAAUUUGACCCUAAGUGUUGCAUGAGUCUUCCCCUUGAGUUUAAACAUUGAUUUUUGCAUGCAAAAGUGAAUUCUAAGUGUCAAUUUCAUUACUUUGCUUAUUAUUCUUUAAGAAUGUUUGUUUAUCCUUACCUUUCUUUGUUAGCCAAUACCUUAGCCCCGUUACAACCCUUUGCUUCUAUCUUGAUUGUUAUGUGUUUCAAUAUGUGGAGUUUGGAAUUGGUAUGAGCAUAUGUUAUCCCUGGUUCUCGCAUCUAAGUAGUAGCAUUCCAUUCAUGAGAUUGUAUACAUACAUUCAUAAUUCCAGAAAAUGCUUUUAUUGUCAUAACAUAUAUGUGAGCAUUCGUUUUCAUAUUUACAUCAAUCUUCUCACAUAUAACUAGUGUAGGGUGUGUAGUCAGAAAAUCUAAGUGAAAACAAGAGUGUAUAUCUAGUGAGGAAUUGAGGGAUUCUCUAAGGCAUGUUACUACAUUCAAAACAUUGUUUUAAUUGAUUAAAUGUGAGCUAGUAAGUGAUGACUAUGAUUAAGUAUGUGCUUAAGUGUAAAGAUGGCUAAAAUCUAUGUGGAGUAGUAAUCUUUGGCGUGUCAUGUACCAUUGGAAAUCCCUGAGGCGAUUGUUGGAAGGUUUAGGUUAUGUUUUGUUUCGUUGUUUUGCUCGAGGACUAGCAAAAGCUAAGUGUGGGGGAAUUUGAUAGGAGCAUAUUUAUGCGCCUUAGUUAGUUAGUUCUUAUGCAUUUAUGUUGUGUUUUCUUAGUUAAAGUUAGUCUUUUAAGCUAUUUUCAUGUGUUUUCAGGUUUUAGAGACAAAGUGAGCAAAAGGAUGCAAUUUGGAGCAUUUUGGAGCAAAAUUGGGCUAGAAUGGAGUUCAUGCACAUGAAGCACAAGGGAUGGACGAAUUUGAAGGAUUGAUGAAGCUAGGAAGGUGUUUCAAAGUUGAAGAAUUGAAGAUACAAAGUUUCCUAGUUGAAGUAGGAAAGGGCUUAAUGAAGGAUUCCUAAAUGAAGAAGGAUUCCUAAUCAAUGUAGGAGUCCUAAUUGAAGAUGGAUUCCUAGACGAAUGAAGUUUCCUACUCAAGCAAGGUUUCCUACAUGAAGAAGAAGAAUUAAAGCCAAAGAAUCAGCUCAAGAGAAGGAUCUUAUCCAAAACCUCAUCCAUAACCUUAUCUUAGCUUAUCUUAUCCAAACAAACCUUAUCCUAUCUUAUCUUAUCCUAAUCCUAAAUUAUCCACAUUCCAGCCACUUAGGAGGGUUUCUAACUAGAUUAGGAUGCUUAAAAUGGGAUUUCUAGAAGACCUAAUCCUUUCCUACAAAGGUGCCACACCUUAUCCCUUGUUUUUUCUAGAAAUCAGCCACAAAACAACCUUUCUAGAAGGCCUUAUCCCUUGUCCUACAAAAGUGACGCCCCAAACCUUUCUAGGACUCCUAGAAA
rnacentral:lncRNA from 1 species